rnacentral:sRNA from 1 species
CUCAGGAUUCAUUUCAACUCUCAAAUAAUAUGAAACCCUAGAAAAAAAAGAAGAAGAAAAAAAAAACCAAGUGGGUUGAUGUAUAAGA